UCCUCGUUAGUAUAGCAGUGAGUAUACCCACCUGUCACGUGGGAGACUGGGGUUCAAUUCCCCGAGGGGGAG
rnacentral:tRNA from 1 species